rnacentral:lncRNA from 1 species
UCCAGAAGGUUUGAAAACUUGUUCAAGGUCAAGUUAGGAAGGAGCAGAACCAGGAUUUAAACUUGAACCUAAGUCUGUCUGAUUCUGAAACUCUAAGAACACAGUUUAUUCAACCAACCAACAUUUUAUGGACCGUCCGCCAUAUGCCAGCCACUGUACUUGGCACAGGCUUAGCACAGAAGAGCCCUGCACUCAGGGGACACGUGUUGAAAGAGGAACCCUAUUUGAGAUGGAAAGUCUUCUACCUACCACAGGAGGAAACCAAAUGACAUGGGCUCUAAGAGUGAAGAGGAGGGGAGGUAGGACCACACGCUGUUUCCUUUUCUUUCUUUCUUUUUCUUUUUUUAGCUACCCACGGCAUAUGGAGUUCCUGGGCCACGGAUCAGAUCUGAGCUGCAGUGUGCCCAGCCAGGAUCAAACCUUGGUCGAAGCACCUCGAAAACCAAUCUCCUUGUGACACAGCGGGAACUUCCAUGGGCUAUUUCUAAAAAGCCCCACCCCUGCCCCCGAAAAAGAGACCUCCAAUGAGGGGAUUUGCUUCAAGUGCACCAAGAAGGCUAUGUGGAUCCUUAACCUGGGCCCCUGGUCUUUUAAGGGGUCUGUGGCUAGAAUUCAAAGGGCUCAUGAACUUGGAUGGGGAAAACUGCAUCUUUCUUUUUUUUUGUUUUUUUCUUUUUAGGGUCUUGCCCAGGGCAUAUGGAGGUUCCCAGGCUAGGGGUCGAAUCGGAGCUGUAGCCGCAGGCCUAGGCCAGAGCCACAGCAACGCCAGACCUGAGCCGUGUCUGCGACCCACACCACAGCUCACGGCAAUGAAGGAUCCUUAACCCACGGAGCGAGGCCAGGGAUCGAACCUGCAUCCUCAUAGAUACUAGUCAGGUUCAUUAACUGCUGAGCCAUGAUGAGAACGUCUCUGUUCCCUUUUAAGGACAUUUUGGCACUUGCUUAAAUCGUGAAUGCGGGCCACGAUCCACCAUGAUCUUAGAAGGCCUGUGACUCGACCACCACCAGGAACCACACAGAUCGUCAUAACAUACUGAGUGACUCAAAGUAUCAACAUGCUCAUCACUGCUGUGAAAUUAUAAGUCUCACUGCUCUUUUAUUUACUGUGCUAGAAAUGGGGCACGUAGAUCACCAAUGUAAAAAAU